UAGGGAAUCUUCCGCAAUGGACGCAAGUCUGACGGAGCAACGCCGCGUGAGUGAAGAAGGACUUCGGUUCGUAAAACUCUGUUGUUAGAGAAGAACAGCGCAUAGAGUAACUGUUAUGCGUGUGACGGUAUCUAACCAGAAAGCCACGGCUAACUACGUGCCAGCAGCCGCGGUAAUACGUAGGUGGCAAGCGUUGUCCGGAUUUAUUGGGCGUAAAGCGAGCGCAGGCGGUCAAUUAAGUCUGAUGUGAAAGCCCCCGGCUCAACCGGGGAGGGUCAUUGGAAACUGGUUGACUUGAGUGCAGAAGAGGAGGGUGGAAUUCCAUGUGUAGCGGUGAAAUGCGUAGAUAUAUGGAGGAACACCAGUGGCGAAGGCGACUCUCUGGUCUGUAACUGACGCUGAGGUUCGAAAGCGUGGGUAGCAAACAGG
rnacentral:rRNA from 1 species